rfam:Triticum urartu cultivar G1812 contig739450, whole genome shotgun sequence.
AACAUACUCCCUCCGUUCCGAAUUACUUGUCUUAGAUUUGUCUAAAUACGGAGGUAUCUAGCACUAAAAUGAGUGUAGAUACAUCCGUAUCUAGACAAAUCCAAGACAAGUAAUUCGGAACGGAGGGAGUAGAUC